UACGUAGGGUGCGAGCGUUGUCCGGAAUUAUUGGGCGUAAAGAGCUCGUAGGCGGUCUGUCGCGUCGGAUGUGAAACCUCGGGGCUCAACCCCGAGCCUGCAUUCGAUACGGGCAGGCUGGAGUUCGGUAGGGGAGACUGGAAUUCCUGGUGUAGCGGUGAAAUGCGCAGAUAUCAGGAGGAACACCGGUGGCGAAGGCGGGUCUCUGGGCCGAUACUGACGCUGAGGAGCGAAAGCGUGGGGAGCGAACAGG
rnacentral:rRNA from 1 species